rnacentral:rRNA from 1 species
UACGUAGGGUGCGAGCGUUGUCCGGAAUUAUUGGGCGUAAAGGGCUCGUAGGCGGUUUGUCGCGUCGGGAGUGAAAACCUCGGGCUUAACUCGGGGCUUGCUUUCGAUACGGGCAGACUGGAGGUAUGCAGGGGAGAACGGAAUUCCUGGUGUAGCGGUGAAAUGCGCAGAUAUCAGGAGGAACACCGGUGGCGAAGGCGGUUCUCUGGGCCUGUACUGACGCUGAGGAACGAAAGCGUGGGUAGCAAACAGG